ACUCCCGUGACGUGGCUGCCA
rnacentral:misc_RNA from 1 species